GCGCAGGGCACCCAGCGCCCGGCUGCCCCGCCGGCCGCGCCGCCGCCCUCCAGGGACCUCCCAGCCGGGAAUGCUGGCGUUCGCAGACGGAAGCUUCGGAGUUUCGGAGGGAGCAGAGGAGGGGAGGGGGCAACGUUAUUUGCACCGGCGCUCGCACGCUCCGCGGGUGAUGAAAUGGAACUCGCCCAACGGGGCCCGGGCCCGGCCCGGCGCGUCCCGGCGCCUGGGGAGGCGCGAAGCCGUCGGGGCGGGAACGCGCGGCCCCGCCCACACUUGUUGAACCGGGCCUGGGCCCAGGCGGCCCGGUUCCCUAAGGCCUGGCUGAGCAAUUCGUGCUUCAGCCUAGAGGUAUUCGCCGGGCUCCGGCUCCGUGCGGGAAGGCACGCGAGGCCUGAGUACCGUGGGGAGGACGCGGCCGCGGUGCAAAGCGGAGAGUGCCCUCGGAGAGAGCAGAUCGGCUCAUCACUGCCCAGAGCCCGCUUUCUGGCCAGGGAAGUGCGGAAGGCUUCGUGGAGGAAAGGGCGUUUGAACGGGUCUGAGUCCACCGAGAUCCCGAAGGACCCCAGCACCUUAGUCACUGGGGCUUACACACCAGCAGACACCCUCAUCCUGGUCCCAACUGGCCAGAUUUCAGUGCAGCCAGGCCGAGGCCCAGGCCCUCUGGAAUCAGACCCAAUCUGCUUUGCCUGGUUGCAGCCACUGCAGGCAGGGAGCUCCUGUCUGCUUCCCCCCCAUAGCCCACCCUGGGCCGAGGUUCAGCCUGGGACACACACCCUCCCCCUCCCCCCGCCCCCCCAACCAUUCAUCAUGCUCUGCCCAGUCCCCAGGCUUAGCUGGAGGGAGGCCCACCCUCAGAGCCCUUGUUGGCUUGUCGCCUUCGGUGUUACUGUGGCGCUUUGGCCCCGGGCCAUGGCUGGGCUUCUCUUAUCACUAAGGUCAGGAAUGGGACCCCUUCCUCUUUUUAGCUCUCCUCCUACCCCCCUGUAAAAUAAACAUUUCAGAAUCUCUACCACACAUACACCUUUCUCACGUAUUAAAUGUUUGCUGGAACAGGUUAAGAGGAAAUGAGUCUGAUAAAUGAAUUCACUCUAUUCAAAAGCCAGAAGUCCAAGAGGAGCAGACCGCUGAUGUCCGACUUCCGGGCAGGCCCUGUACAUUGCCCCGCCCCCACUCCCAGGACUUUCUGGGAGCACCCCCUAGACCCUUACAGGGGCUCGUCACCCAGUAGGUGCUUCGUGGAAACUAUGACGAAGUCUUCACCGAUGACCCUGGACACGAGAAGCAUAGUCUUUCUCGUGGAAGGGGGGGGGGUGGGCAGUGAGGAACAACUCAAAUGUCUCCACUUGUGAAAAGAAUGUUACACAGUGUUUGGAAUGAGGCCCCAGGAGGGAGGGAUAUUCGUCCAUGGUUUCCGCUGCCCUAUCUACAACUGUUGCUGGCACAUAGUGGAUUAUCAAUAAAUAUUUGUUGAAUGAA